ensembl:snoRNA SNORD17 small nucleolar RNA, C/D box 17
GUGAAAUGAUGAUUCAGUUUAUCCAUUCGCUGAGUGUGCUGCAUUGACCUUCUUCCAAGCCUCAGUUCCUGUUCUAGAAACUUUGGUGCUAUGUAGCCUCCAAAUGCCCUGCAGUCUGCAAUGUUCUAUUGCAGAUUGCUUGUGUGUUGGUAGCCUACUGGUAAGAGUGGUUGAUGUCAGCAGGGAUGGGUCCCUCUGGGUCCUAUCUUACCAAGAUGAGUGGUGCAAAUCUGAUCAC